rnacentral:rRNA from 1 species
CAGUAGCCACGGUAAUACGUAGGUGGCAAGCGUUGUCCGGAAUUAUUGGGCGUAAAGCGCGCGCAGGCGGAUCGGUCAGUCUGUCUUAAAAGUUCGGGGCUUAACCCCGUGAUGGGAUGGAAACUGCCAAUCUAGAGUAUCGGAGAGGAAAGUGGAAUUCCUAGUGUAGCGGUGAAAUGCGUAGAUAUUAGGAAGAACACCAGUGGCGAAGGCGACUUUCUGGACGAAAACUGACGCUGAGGCGCGAAAGCCAGGGGAGCGAACGGGAUUAGAUACCCGGGUAGUCCCUGUCUCUUAUACA